rnacentral:lncRNA from 1 species
UGUGUAUGAAGAUUAUGAGUAGGUCAACAUGGAAUCAAUCACUCCUAGUAAGAGGAGAUUGCAUCCUAUGUAUUCUCAUCCCUAGAUGACUCAGAAAAAGUUUUUUGGUCAAAAGUAGGAAGGAGAUUAGAAAGAGUUUAUAAUACUUCAUCAUUGGAGUCAUCAUUGGUUAAUCGAGAAUUGAUAUGAAUAUGUAUUUGAGUUUGACA